rnacentral:rRNA from 1 species
CGCGUAGGCGGUCUGUCCAGUUAGGCGUGAAAGGCCUGGGCUUAACCCAGGAAUGGCGCUUAAUACUGACGGGCUUGAGAUUGGAAGAGGAGAGUGGAAUUCCCAGUGUAGAGGUGAAAUUCGUAGAUAUUGGGAAGAACACCGGUGGCGAAGGCGGCUCUCUGGUCCACAUCUGACGCUGAGGCGCGAAAGCGUGGGGAGCAAACAGGAUUAGAUACCCUGGUAGUCCACGCCGUAAACGAUGAGUGCUAGACGUUGGGGGGCUUGGCUUCUCGGUGUCGCAGCUAACGCGUUAAGCACUCCGCCUGGGGAGUACGGUCGCAAGAUUAAA